ensembl:rRNA 5S_rRNA 5S ribosomal RNA
AGCCACAGCCAUAUCACACUGCAGUCAAAGACCGGUUACUCACUGAAGCUAAGCAGGGCUGAGCCUGGCUAGUACCUGGAUGGGAGACCACUAGGGAACACGAGGUUGCAGUUGGAA